rnacentral:rRNA from 1 species
UACGUAGGUGGCAAGCGUUGCUCGGAAUCACUGGGCGUAAAGGGCGCGUAGGCGGGGAGGUAAGUCGGGUGUGAAAUCCCUCGGCCCAACCGAGGAACUGCGCCCGAGACUGCUUCUCUUGAGUCCCGGAGAGGAAGAUGGAAUUCCCGGUGUAGCGGUGAAAUGUGUAGAGAUCGGGAGGAACACCGGUGGCGAAGGCGGGUCUCUGGACAGUUCCUGACGCUGAGGCACGAAGGUCAGGGGAGCAAACGGG